rnacentral:rRNA from 1 species
UAAUGGCCCACCAAGGCAGUGAUCUGUAUCCGGCCUGAGAGGGCGCACGGCCACACUGCAACUGAAACACGGUCCAUACUCCUACGGGAGGCAGCAGUGGGGAAUUUUGCGCAAUGGGGGAAACCCUGCCGCAGCAACGCCGCGUGGAGGAUGAAGUCCCUUGCGACGUAAACUCCUUUCGAUCGGGACGAUUAUGACGGUACCGGAAGAAGAAGCCCCGGCUAACUUCCUGCCAGCAGCCGCGGUAAUACGAGGGGGGCGAGCGUUGUUCGGAAUUAUUGGGCGUAAAGGCUGCGUAGGCGGUUUGGUAAGUCUUGUGUGAAAUCUUCGGGCUCAACUCGAAGUCUGCACGAACAAACUGCCGGGCUUGAUUAUGGAAGAGGUGAGUGGAAUUCCCGGUGUAGCGAUGAAAUG